rnacentral:sRNA from 1 species
UCGAAACCCUCGAUCGAAACGAGCCGACCCGCGCACGUGUCAACCAAUCGGAGGGGACGGAGCGCGUCGCGCGAGAGACCCCUCCGCGUCGCCUCCCCCCCUCGAAUGUCGUCCUGGCGUUGUCGCGAGGCGGGCACCUUCGCUCCGUGUGGGGUGCUUGUCGAGCGGCGACGAUAGGUGCGGCAGCACAACCAAACCCCGGCGCAAGUCGCGCCAAGGAAAAUGGAUAUACAACCUCCGCGCUCCCCGCCGGCUCAGGCGACGGGGGCCGGCGUUGUGUCGUUUAAUGCAUAUAAGAGAUGACUCUCGGCAACGGAUAUCUCGGCUCUUGCAUCGAUGAAGAAACGUAGCGAAAUGCGAUACUUGGUGUGAAUUGCAGAAUCCCGUGAACCAUCGAGUCUUUGAACGCAAGUUGCGCCCGAGGCCACCACGGCCGAGGGCACGUCUGUCUGGGCGUCGCGUGCAGCGUCACCUAACACCUCCUCGCCCCCCGCGCGGGGGUGUCGGUGGAGUAUGGCCUCCCGUGUCGUAGGUCUCRACGCGGUUGGCCCAAAUGGGAAGCUCGGGGCAACGGAUGCCGUGACAAUGGGUGGUCCGCGAGGCCGAAAGGCACGGUCACGACGUCUUGUCAUUGCAUGGUUUCCCGCUGCUUGUUUAGAUCCCCUUCCGCCACCGUGGCGGGAUACAA